CGCCCGAGCCGAGCGGGCGAGCGGAGCUGCGGGGAGCGCGGGCGAAGGCGGCAGGAGGGAGGGCGCGCGGGAGGCGGCCCCUCCUCGGCGAGCCAUGCGUGCCGCGGGCAGCUGAGGAGCCGCCGGGCGCCGCUGCCAAGUCCCCGCUCCGCUUUUGUCUUGCCCUCCAGUGAAUGGGAAGAUGGANCCCAGCAGCGGCCCCAGCCCCAGCCCCAGCAGCGGCCCCAGCCCCAGCAGCGGCCCCAGCAGCUGGCUCAGGAUGAAGUGCCCGGCGAGAGUGCGGGCGCGGAGGACAGCGACGAUCCCGAGGCGACACCCGGCAGCGACAGAGGCGAGAGCAAGAGAUAUCAUGGACUGAAAGGUGAUGGGUACCCCAAUGAGUUCACUACAAGAUCUCAAAGAUUCCAAGCCAUUGGCUGCUCCAAAGCAUAAAGCCACCCUUCUGGAGAGGCGGCAGGAAGGAAGCCUGGAGGAGGUGAGGAAACAUCACUCUUCCCUCUGCCCUUGACUCCAUCGGCCUUGAGCUGUCAGAUGGUUGGGCCCGGGCCUGAUGGGCUGUUUCCCGUGUGUCCUUCCACAGGCUCCGCUGUUGGCCAGAGGAAGACCACCUUCUCAGGUGUCUGGGGGAACCGCUGAAGGAGAAUGAGAGAGAUGUCGCUGGUCCCCAGGACAGAAACAGCAGCUGGAACCAAGAAGCACUCAGAGUGGGACUCGAGCCCAGCACCCCUUCAGACUGAAGCUCUUUGAGAUACAUGUGCUUCCUGAUUGGACUGUUUUUGCUUUUCCAUCACCUGCAUAACACAGUUCUGGAUACUUUGGAAUGGUUGGCUUUCUUUCCUUUUUUAUCCUUCCCCCACCUCUACCCCCACCCCUGUCUUGUCUUUUUCUUCCCUUGGCCCUGAGACCUGUAAGAAAAGAAUUGCUUUGGAAAGUAUAAUUCUGUUGCUGAAAUUUGCCUUGUUUAUGAACAAAUUCUUUCCCUGAGGAUUUUCUGAAUUGCAAUCCCAGGUUACUUGGUAAAUGGGGCUGCAUGAUUUGAUUUGUGUAGCACUGAUCCUUAGAUUAAAAAUACAUUUUCUUUCUUUCUUUUUUCCCCCCAAGUUUUGGAUCCAGGUAAUGGCCCGAGUCACAUUUGCUUAGCUACUGAAGCGAUCUCAAUGUGGUAUCGCUUGGAGUUGAAACAUAAUCAAACAUACAUUAUACCUGGGGCUCUUGCAUGCUAUUUGAUAUAUAUGUUACACUACAAAGAAACACAAACCUUGUAGGUUGAAAUUUAAUUCCUGUCUGAUCCUAUAGUUAGAAUGGUGAGAAAUCACAAAAUAUCAAAAGUGGCUUCAAAUACCCUGAAUGUAAGCUAACCAACAAUAAAUGGACAGUUUGGAAAUGCCA
rnacentral:lncRNA from 1 species